UCAAUAGGAAGCUUGUAUGAUGACUUCCUAAUUUUAUCACACUGGCCUUUGUCAAGUGCUCUUUCAUUUUUCAUUUUGCUUUUGCCUAAGUUUGGUUGGAGUUAUGAAGUGAGCGCUCAGAUACUUUGAAGCAGCUGGCACCCCUGCGGUACAAUAAUGUUGAUAUAUUUGUGUUUGUGACAUAAUUUUUAUUGGUAAAUUGCAAAUCUCAGUCUACACUAAUAAAAGAGCAAGUAAAUCUUUAAGAAGAUAUUAGUGUAACGAACCUCUGAUAUCAAUCUGCUUCUAAUGUGAUGAUCUUCUGGAAUGUCACUAGCUUGUCCUGUGGCUGUCUGGGAUUAUGAUGAGCCACCCUGAAUUGCUAGUUGUGUCCCUUUGCCAGAAAGAACUAUGCGACAUCCAACAAAGAACUGCUCCUUCUGCAGACCAAGAAAUUCGGUAACUACUGCUACCAUGUCCAGUGUUGAGACUAGAUGGAACCCAGUCAACCUUCAUUUGCUUCUAUAUAUAUAUAUAUAUUGGGCACCAUACUAGACCCAGCCCACACAUGGUAGUAGCAGGUAGCAGAUUUUCUUAGUUUAUGGGAGUAGUUCUUUGUCGGAUAUUGCAUGAUUCUCUCUGGCAAAGGAACACAACUCGCAGCUUAAGGCAGCUUGUCAUAAUCCUUGACAUAGCCCUGCGACAAGCUUGUGAUGUUCCAGAAGAUGAUCCUCAAAUUAGAAGUAGAUUGAUAUUUGAGGUUUGUUAGAUUAAUAUCUUCUUUAAACUUUACUGAUUUCUUUAGUUUGGCCUCAGAUUUGCAGUUCAGUACUUGUCACAAUUGUGUUAUAACAAGCUCAAAGACAACCUUUUCAACUUUUUUACAUCCUUCUUAGAUUUGAUAAAUUGUCCCAUCCAUCAUGUAAAUUGAACCUUCAAGUUUAACUAUUUGUAUUGAGAACAAAACUAGCCAUUUCAAUGCAUCAUCUUUCUUGCAUUCUGGCCUUAAUUAUGUUUUCAAGUACUAAUAGUAGUAGAUUAUGAACAGAAGAUAUGUUGUAGUGAAAAAGUUCAAUGAUGGUCCAUAUUGUAAGAUCUUCCUCAUGAAUUUAAAAGCUGGAGGUGUUGUUGUCAGUCUCCAA